CAUGGCGGGUGCUACCUGCAAGUCGAACGUGAUCCGCCCUUCGGGGUGGUGAAAGUGGCGCACGGGUGAGUAACGCGUGGAUAAUCUGCCCGAGGAUUUGGGAUAACAUCUCGAAAGGGGUGCUAAUACCGAAUAAGCCCACGGGGUCUACGGAUCUUGCGGGAAAAGGGGGGGACCUUCGGGCCUCCUGUCCUUGGAUGAGUCUGCGUACCAUUAGCUAGUUGGUGGGGUAAUGGCCUACCAAGGCGACGAUGGUUAGCUGGUCUGAGAGGAUGAUCAGCCACACUGGAACUGAGACACGGUCCAGACUCCUACGGGAGGCAGCAGUGGGGAAUUUUGCGCAAUGGGGGAAACCCUGACGCAGCAACGCCGCGUGGGUGAUGAAGGCCUUCGGGUCGUAAAGCUCUGUCUGGAGGGAAGAAAUGAUUGGGAGCUAAUACCUCUUGAUCUUGACGGUACCUCUGAAGGAAGCACCGGCUAACUCCGUGCCAGCAGCCGCGGUAAUACGGAGGGUGCAAGCGUUGUUCGGAAUUAUUGGGCGUAAAGCGCGUGUAGGCGGUCUUUUAAGUCUGAUGUGAAAGCCCCGGGCUCAACCUGGGAAGUGCAUUGGAAACUGGGAGGCUUGAGUACGGGAGAGGAGAGUGGAAUUCCUAGUGUAGGAGUGAAAUCCGUAGAUAUUAGGAGGAACACCGGUGGCGAAGGCGGCUCUCUGGACCGAUACUGACGCUGAGACGCGAAAGCGUGGGUAGCAAACAGGAUUAGAUACCCUGGUAGUCCACGCCGUAACGAUGAGUACUAGUGUUGCGGGUAUUGACCCCUG
rnacentral:rRNA from 1 species